ACUCCUACGGGAGGCAGCAGUGGGAAUAUUGCACAAUGGGGAAAGCCCAUCGAUGCAGCCAUGCCGCGCUGUGUGAAGAAGGCCAAUUCGGGCUUGGUAAAGACACUUUUCAGCGAGGAGGAAAAGGGUGUGUGUUAAUACCAUACAUCUGUGACGUUACUCGCAGAAGAAGCACCGGCUAACUCCGUGCCAGCAGCCGCGGUAAUACGGAGGGUGCGAGCGUUAAUCGGAAUUACUGGGCGUAAAGCGUGCGCAGGCGGUUUGUUAAGCGAGAUGUGAAAGCCCG
rnacentral:rRNA from 1 species